rnacentral:rRNA from 1 species
AAUGAAUGUUGGCGGCGUGGAUUAGGCAUGCAAGUCGCGCGAGAAACCCGCAAGGGUGGAAAGCGGCGAAAGGGAGAGUAACGCGUGGAUAUCUGCCCCCUGGAUCGGGAGUAGCUGCGGGAAACUGCAGGUAAUACCGGAUAACGUCUCCGGACCAAAGGUGUGAGUCCGCCAGGGGAUGAGUCCGCGUCCUAUUAGCUUGUUGGUGGGGUAACGGCCUACCAAGGCGAUGAUGGGUACUGGGUGUGAGAGCACGACCCAGCUCACUGGGACUGAGACACUGCCCAGACACCUACGGGUGGCUGCAGUCGAGAAUCUUCGGCAAUGGGCGCAAGCCUGACCGAGCGACGCCGCGUGCGGGAGUGAAGGCCCUCGGGUUGUAAACCGACUGUCGGAGGGGAGUGAAA